rnacentral:rRNA from 1 species
UAGGUGAUGGACAACAGGUUGAUAUUCCUGUACUACCGAUAACCGUUUGAGAGAAGGGAUGACACAGUAGGAUAAGUUAAGCACACUGUUGGUUAUGUGUGCCCAAGCAUUGAGGCAGUCAAAGUAGGCAAAUCCGCUUUGAUAAUGCUGGGAUGUGAUGGGGAGCGAAAUUUAGUAGCGAAGUAGCUGAUUUCACACUGUCAAGAAAAGUCUCUAUCGAGGUUAAAGGUACCCGUACCGCAAACCGACACAGGUGGGUGAGGAGAGUAUCCUAAGGCCAGCGAGAGAACUGUUGUUAAGGAACUCGGCAAAAUGACCCCGUAACUUAGGGAUAAGGGGUGCCACCAUCCGGUGGCCGCAGAGAAUAGGCCCAAGCGACUGUUUACCAAAAACAUAGGUUUCUGCUAAGUCGCAAGACGAUGUAUAGGAGCUGACGCCUGCCCGGUGCUGGAAGGUUAAGGGGAUCUGUUAGAGCAAUCGAAGCAGUGAACUUAAGCCCCAGUAAACGGCGGCCGUAACUAUAACGGUCCUAAGGUAGCGAAAUUCCUUGUCGGGUAAGUUCCGACCCGCACGAAAGGCGUAACGAUUUGGGCACUGUCUCAACAACAGACUCGGUGAAAUUGUAAUUCCGGUGAAGAUGCCGGAUACCUGCGACAGGACGGAAAGACCCCAUGGAGCUUUACUGUAGCUUGACAUUGGGUCUUGGUACUACAUGUACAGGAUAGGUGGGAGGCUUUGAAACCAGGACGCCAGUUUUGGCGGAGCCAUCCUUGGGAUACCACCCUUGUAGUACUGGGACUCUAACCAUAGGCCAUGAAUCUGGUCUUGGGACACUGUCAGGUGGGCAGUUUGACUGGGGCGGUCGCCUCCCAAAAGGUAACGGAGGCGCUCAAAGGUUCUCUCAGUACGGUCGGAAAUCGUACGUAGAGUGUAAAGGCAAAAGAGAGCUUGAUUGCAAGACAUACAGGUCGAGCAAGGAUGAAAAUCGGACUUAGUGAUCCGGUGGUUCUGCGUGGAAGGGCCAUCGCUCAACGGAUAAAAGCUACCCUGGGGAUAACAGGCUUAUCUCCCCCAAGAGUCCACAUCGACGGGGAGGUUUGGCACCUCGAUGUCGGCUCAUCACAUCCUGGGGCUGUAGUAGGUCCCAAGGGUUGGGCUGUUCGCCCAUUAAAGUGGUACGCGAGCUGGGUUCAGAACGUCGUGAGACAGUUCGGUCCCUAUCCGUCGCAGGCGUAGGAAAUUUGAGAAGACCUGUCCUUAGUACGAGAGGACCGGGAUGGACG